GGGCAGACUCACAGGGCAGACUUGAGUCUGCCCUGAAGAAGUCUUAUUGUAUUUAUUGUUCUGGUACGAGAUCGCGACAGUUUGGGCUUUUUGAUUCUAUUAGUGUUUUUGUAUUUACACUCACGGGAACCCUGCGUCUAAUUUUUCCCGCGUUUUGCUCUUCUAACUCGCGGCCGACACCACCGUGGGUAUUGUUGAUAAAGUUUUUGCAUUAUUUUCGUCGUGGCUAUAGCCAAGAAAGAAAUUCGACACAUCUUAACACUUUUAUAAUAAAAAGACGUACAAAUGAUGAAUGGAAGGACAAGGGAUGGGUUUGGAAAAAGAAGGCGAAUCCCAACUCAAGCAAGCUGCCAGCUUUAAAAGCAUGAUGCUAGGGCAGGAUGUACUGUUUUCAUUAAUACAGCUAAGUAACAAAAAGAUAGAUAGUAGUUACAAAUGAAAACUUGUUAUAAAAAAGAAAUGAACCAGGCUAAUAAAAAAAAGUCAGAAACUUUGAAAACAAGUUAGAGUGGUUUAUUUCAUUCACCCUUUGACAAAGUGGCUGGUAUAAAACACAGACCAACAUUGGCCCUUAUUGCAAAUGGACUAAAUGGGUUUUCUAGUAAAAAAAUAUAGUUUCAAUUUGAACUAAUUAACUGCACAGGGCUUUGUGAGCAAUCUACUUUUCAAAUAGCUGAUAUGAAUACAGCUCAGUACAUAGGAAUCUGAGAUGGUAUUAUCAACAGGAAUGUACCAUUUGACCUUUAAUGCAAUUAUUUCAAAGAUAAUUUAGCACUGCACAUGGAAUAUAGCUACCUUUUUUUUUAACAAACUGCAUCUUUUUGUAAUGCCACACCAAGCCCUAUUUUAUGUUUUAACAAAAAAAUACCAGGUGAACACACCCUUGAAACCAUGAUGCUUCAACAUGGGGGUCUAGUGGGUCCAUGGACCUCCUCAUCGAGGGUCAGUGUUUUGUACAAUCCACCCAAGACAAAGUGUCAAUUCAAAGAGUAUUAGCCAAAAAAAAAACAGUAAAGAAGGUUAAUAAAACUGUUUAUCCAAUA